CGGUUUUCCUCUAUUAUUUACACAAACAAACAGAACUGUCAUGUAAAAUGGCAACCCUUUGAAGAAAAAAAUGCAUUAGUCCUAUCUAGUCAGUGAAGUUAUUAUCUUUUUAAACCUACAGUUGAGUUUUUAAUUACCGAAGAUGUCAAAACUGGGGCCUAAUUUUACAUUCAGUGACACUGGUGCAAUUCCCAUUUAAAUUGAAAGAUUAGGAGACACAUUCAGUGGGGAGUCUGGGUUGGGGUAAAUUGAAAACCUUUUGUGGCUCCCUCAUUAUGAAAGUUACACCAGCUUAGACUUUCUUAGAGUCACAUCUACUCACUAACAUAUAAUUUCUACAUAACCUCUGAAUUUGGCCCACUGAGGCUAAAGAAGUCUGUAUGGUACGCUUUACACACCAAGGAGCUGGGAGAGAGGGAUGCAGUAGGAAAAAUAACUAACAUUUAAGUAUUAAAGUCAGCAUAUUACACCUCAUUUUGGCACCUCAAUGUGAAAGUGACAUCAGCUCAAAGUUCUUUAUUUACACCCACUAUUGUGUACCUUACACUGCUGAGCUUGCCUCUGUAACCACAGUCCUUUGUUAUGCUUUCUGCUGCAGUAGUGAUAAGGUUGAUUCUAGUAACCAUGGUUGCUGAUUGGUGGAUUACAGCUAGUGAUGGGCGAAUUUGAAAAGGAUUCAAAAUUUGGUCUGGAUUCUCCAGUUUGGAUGUUUACCCCGGCUUAUCCAAGCCAUCUGGAUCUCUUGACCCCAUUACUAUCAUGCUGUGACUCCCUCCUUUCCCACACAAGCCAUCCCACCAAGUGGCAAACAUUCUAAAGCCCUGCUCCCAUCUCUUUUUUAUGGAAAGAUAUUGGGGUAAUUUGCUUCCUCUGCAGCACAUGGGUAAAAAGGGCCUAUUUGCCUCUUCACUCAUGACAGUGUUUCCAGGGGGAAAGAGAAGGAAAGAAAUUUCUGGACACACUGGGAAACUGUGACAACCCCAUGUUGGUAGCAAUCAUAUAUAAACUGCUGGGACCUUCUUGUAGGUCUGCACUUUAAAGGAGGGACGGAGCUAUUGAUAAUAGUCUGAAGAAGACAGGAUCCCUGGUUGUAAUGCAGCUUUUUAUGACAGAAACACAGAGCAGUGCUUCUAUUACAUCCUAAAGAAAGAAUUUCUGGAAGGAAAAAAGUUCUAUGAGAUUAACUAUGAGAGAUUUAAUGAGAGGUGAGCCAGAAUGUUUGAGCAUGGGAAGGGCCUGGGUUAAUGGAAAAUAAAGGGAACAUAGAGGGAAUACCCACUGAAUAUUGCCAACUGCCAACUUUUGUUGUGGUCAGCCACAAACACAGCUGAAGAAAGAAAGAAAGAAAGAAAGAAAGAAAGAAAGAAAGAAAGAAAGAAAGAAAGAAAGAAAGAAAACUUUGGCUUUCACUUAUAAAAAUAUAUUGGAGCACUAUUGACUAAUUAAGUAAUGAUUUGGAUGCUUUGGAAAAGAGGCAUCUGCAUAUUUAAGCCAUCUCUCACACACAGGCACUCAGUAUAAAAGUCCUGCAUGAAAAAGGAGUUUUAACAGUAAAUGCUUUUAAAGCCUCUUGAUGUCCCCAAACCUUUUUAUCUUUUCUCUUCCUCCUCCCCAUCUAUCCUGCAUCAAAUAUAAAGCUGUUUUCCCUUCUUUUAGCUUCUGGCAGCAGGAAUAAAAAUAAUCUUAAAUUGUUAUUGUUUUCCCUGAAAAGCUCCAUGAAUGCAAAUCUUUUAAAAGCUGCCUCAUGAAUGGAAAUCUUCAAGUGUCUUCUCUCCAUACAGUUGCACUUUGGACAGCCGCCCAAGUGAUAAACAGCCCUCUGUUCACAUAUCUGCAUGAGACAGUCUAGCAAUAUGGUUUGAAAGAUAGUAGGUUUGUUAUGAGAUGAUGACUCCCUGCGGCACAAAAUGCCACAAAGUUCAACUCAUCUAAUUCUACUCAGUAAGAUUAUUUUACGAUAACCACUCUCCCUCGAUUAGUCCUGUUUCUAAUACACCCCUUUAGAAUACACUACAGCCAGUGAGAACACUGCAUUGCCACGCAAUUUAAACAGAUGUGUAAUGACCUGUGACAUCUUUUGUGCAGAAAAUUAAGCUGAUAAUUCAUUUGUAAUGCCACUACAGCCACCCAGUCUUAUCAUGAAUUUAGCAAGUAGUUUAGUGCCAUGAGUAGCUGCAGUAAUCUCAUUGCAAAUCAUCGCUGUUGCUUUGCAGUCAUGUAAACACAGCUGGUUUAAAUGCAUCAGGUUCCACUGCAAACCCCUCCGCAUUGCAUGCAACAAAAUAAAGUCACAGAUGGGGUAGGGGCAUGGAUACGUAUAUCUAAAUAAUCGUGGUGUCAAUCUAUGAAAAAUAUACUAUUCAAUUUUAAGUCUGGCAUGCUAUCUUUAUGAAAUAUAUAAUUCCAUUGUGGAACACACCAGCAGAAAACGUGUUAAGGUGGAGUUGGGGUCACAUUAAGUUUGACAGUUUUUAUUGCUGUGUGUGUUUGUCAUAACUUGUAAUGUUACUUAAACAUUACUUUUGUGUGUGCAAAUUCACAGUUUCACAAAAUCUACAGGGCAAAUAAAUCACUAUGGCCCAUAUUCUGCUGUCACUUACACCCAUGCAACACUAGUGAACUCAAUGAGGUUGUACAGGUAUAAGUGAGGGCAGAAUUCAGUUAUAUUUGACUGUCCAGCUGGAGUAACCCAUCCAACUGAUGGCGAAGUGGAGAAUGCUUUAAUACUGAAGACUAUGUUUUCCCUGUUAUACUACAGUGAAAAGCAAUCUGUAGCCUCACUGUUCCAGUGACCUCAGAGAUGCUUGGGGUAAACACCAAUGUACUUUCUAAAUCAGGAUAAACCAGUUGUGUAGAGCAGGAAUGGAAGAAGAAGCAAUGGAUCCCAUUGAGACAAUCCUUCUUUUUAUAGGCUCCCAGACUUUAAGGCCAGAAGGAAUCAUCUAGUCUGAUCUCCUGCACCUUGCAGGCCACAGAACCUCCUUCAAAUUGCUACAAGGUAAGGGCUCAGUGGGUAACCACAGUCCUGAGGAAGGGAUGGCAUGACACUAAUACCCCAGGAGAAGGUAUUUGCAGUGCUCCCUGCACAUACUACAAUAUUCCUUAGCAUUCCUAAGCACAUGAUUAUGUCUCGUCCUUACGCAGGAGAAUGACUCCUUGCACCUGUCACAAGCACAACCAUACAAGGACCAGGCACAGUUUGGCAACUAAGAGAAUACUGAAGUAACAACAGUUGAGGCCCAGGAUAGAGUUUUUCUUCACAUCACUGAGAACCAAAGCAAUACUGUGGACUGGAGUCAUUAUUAUAUACCAUUUAGGUUUACAUGCAACCAAAAUGGAAAAAGAUAAAGGAACAUGCUUACAUACCCUUCCCCGCACACUCCAUAACCUACACUAUUCUACCCUUAAGAAUUAUAUUUGGGAUUUUCAAAUGUGCUUCCAUCUUCUAUUGAAUAUAAAUUGGAUUUCUGUGCCUAACUCCCUCAGCCUGCACCCCCACCCUAAACCUCCUAGCUUGGUUUCCUUGUUAGAAAGAGACAGUAAGUUGAGUACAUCUGUUUUCCUGAGUGGUUUUAUUGUUUGUUCUUCUAACCCUAAGUAAUGGUGCCAGGAUCAACAGCAAGAUGUACCUUAUAAUGCACAUAAUAAAUAAUAAUUAUAAUGUGAA